rnacentral:tRNA from 1 species
GCGUAGCUCAAUGGUAGAGCAAUCGGCUGUUAACCGAUAGGUUGUAAGUUCGAAUCUUACCG